rnacentral:ncRNA from 2 species
AUCUCAUCAAGAGAAGCAGAAGGACUGGCCUGAUGAAGCUUCGGCAACCUUCAUAUGUAUUUUUUAGAAAGGUGCCAAAUCCUGCAGUUGAAUGGUAACGAUAGAUGAGGG